rnacentral:rRNA from 1 species
GACAGAGGGGGCAAGCGUUGCUCGGAAUUACUGGGCGUAAAGGGCGCGUAGGCGUGAUGGCAAGUCGGUCGUGAAAUCCCUCGGCUCAACCGAGGAACGUCGAUCGAUACUGCUGUUCUUGAGGAUUGCAGAGGAGACUGGAAUUCCCGGUGUAGCGGUGAAAUGUGUAGAGAUCGGGAGGAACACCGGUGGCGAAGGCGGGUCUCUGGGCAAUUCCUGACGCUGAGGCGCGAAAGCGUGGGGAGCAAACGGG